UGGGGAAUAUUGGACAAUGGGCGAAAGCCUGAUCCAGCCAUGCCGCGUGUGUGAAGAAGGUCUUCGGAUUGUAAAGCACUUUAAGUUGGGAGGAAGGGCAGUAAGCGAAUACCUUGCUGUUUUGACGUUACCGACAGAAUAAGCACCGGCUAACUCUGUGCCAGCAGCCGCGGUAAUACAGAGGGUGCAAGCGUUAAUCAGAAUUACUGGGCGUAAAGCGCGCGUAGGUGGUUCGUUAAGUUGAAUGUGAAAGCCCCGGGCUCAACCUGGGAACUGCAUCCAAAACUGGCGAGCUAGAGUAGGGCAGAGGGUGGUGGAAUUUCCUGUGUAGCGGUGAAAUGCGUAGAUAUAGGAAGGAACACCAGUGGCGAAGGCGACCACCUGGGCUCAUACUGACACUGAGGUGCGAAAGCGUGGGGAGCAAACAGG
rnacentral:rRNA from 1 species